GAGCCUGGUUGAAGCCAUCGGUGUAUAUCAUUGCGGAGGAGCCAACCUAUCAACAAUCAAGUUGAAUAGCUCAAGUGGUUAGAGUUUUGACCAAACAUCC